UGGGGAAUUUUGGACAAUGGGCGAAAGCCUGAUCCAGCAAUGCCGCGUGUGUGAAGAAGGCCUUCGGGUUGUAAAGCACUUUUGUCCGGAAAGAAAUCCUUGGCUCUAAUACAGUCGGGGGAUGACGGUACCGGAAGAAUAAGCACCGGCUAACUACGUGCCAGCAGCCGCGGUAAUACGUAGGGUGCAAGCGUUAAUCGGAAUUACUGGGCGUAAAGCGUGCGCAGGCGGUUUGCUAAGACCGAUGUGAAGUCCCCGGGCUCAACCUGGGAACUGCAUUGGUGACUGGCAGGCUAGAGUAUGGCAGAGGGGGGUAGAAUUCCACGUGUAGCAGUGAAAUGCGUAGAGAUGUGGAGGAAUACCGAUGGCGAAGGCAGCCCCCUGGGCCAAUACUGACGCUCAUGCACGAAAGCGUGGGGAGCAAACAGGAUUAGAUACCCUGGUAGUCCACGCCCUAAACGAUGUCAACUAGUUGUUGGGGAUUCAUUUCCUUAGUAACGUAGCUAACGCGUGAAGUUGACCGCCUGGGGAGUACGGUCGC
rnacentral:rRNA from 1 species